CUUUUUUGCAUCUGCAGCCCAUGAGGAUGAGAACCUCCGGGGGCAGGGAGGUUCGACUCGAGCGAAGCGAGAGAACGUUGCGCCAGCAACGGGCCCGCAGGGCGAGCCACGAAGUGGGGGGUAACCCCCCCCCCCCCCCCCA
rnacentral:sRNA from 1 species